rnacentral:rRNA from 1 species
GAUGAACGCUAGCGGGAGGCCUAACACAUGCAAGCCGAGCGGUAGAGUCUCUUCGGAGACUUGAGAGCGGCGCACGGGUGCGGAACACGUGUGCAACCUGCCUUUAUCUGGGGGAUAGCCUUUCGAAAGGAAGAUUAAUACCCCAUAAUAUACUGGAUGGCAUCAUCUGGUAUUGAAAACUCCGGUGGAUAGAGAUGGGCACGCGCAAGAUUAGAUAGUUGGUGAGGUAACGGCUCACCAAGUCUACGAUCUUUAGGGGGCCUGAGAGGGUGAUCCCCCACACUGGUACUGAGACACGGACCAGACUCCUACGGGAGGCAGCAGUGAGGAAUAUUGGACAAUGGGUGAGAGCCUGAUCCAGCCAUCCCGCGUGAAGGACGACGGCCCUAUGGGUUGUAAACUUCUUUUGUAUAGGGAUAAACCUAGAUACGUGUAUCUAGCUGAAGGUACUAUACGAAUAAGCACCGGCUAACUCCGUGCCAGCAGCCGCGGUAAUACGGAGGGUGCAAGCGUUAUCCGGAUUUAUUGGGUUUAAAGGGUCCGUAGGCUGAUUUGUAAGUCAGUGGUGAAAUCUCACAGCUUAACUGUGAAACUGCCAUUGAUACUGCAAGUCUUGAGUGUUGUUGAAGUAGCUGGAAUAAGUAGUGUAGCGGUGAAAUGCAUAGAUAUUACUUAGAACACCAAUUGCGAAGGCAGGUUACUAAGCAACAACUGACGCUGAUGGACGAAAGCGUGGGGAGCGAACAGGAUUAGAUACCCUGGUAGUCCACGCCGUAAACGAUGCUAACUCGUUUUUGGGUUUUCGGAUUCAGAGACUAAGCGAAAGUGAUAAGUUAGCCACCUGGGGAGUACGAACGCAAGUUUGAAACUCAAAGGAAUUGACGGGGGCCCGCACAAGCGGUGGAUUAUGUGGUUUAAUUCGAUGAUACGCGAGGAACCUUACCAAGGCUUAAAUGGGAAAUGACAGGUUUAGAAAUAGACUUUUCUUCGGACAUUUUUCAAGGUGCUGCAUGGUUGUCGUCAGCUCGUGCCGUGAGGUGUUAGGUUAAGUCCUGCAACGAGCGCAACCCCUGUCACUAGUUGCCAUCAUUAAGUUGGGGACUCUAGUGAGACUGCCUACGCAAGUAGAGAGGAAGGUGGGGAUGACGUCAAAUCAUCACGGCCCUUACGCCUUGGGCCACACACGUAAUACAAUGGCCGGUACAGAGGGCAGCUACACAGUGAUGUGAUGCAAAUCUCGAAAGCCGGUCUCAGUUCGGAUUGGAGUCCGCAACUCGACUCUAUGAAGCUGGAAUCGCUAGUAAUCGCGCAUCAGCCAUGGCGCGGUGAAUACGUUCCCGGGCCU